CCGCAUAACGUCGCAAGACCAAAGAGGGGGACCUUCGGGCCUCUUGCCAUCAGAUGUGCCCAGAUGGGAUUAGCUAGUAGGUGGGGUAACGGCUCACCGAGGCGACGAUCCCCUAGCUGGUAUGAGAGGAUGACCAGCCACACUGGAACUGAGACACGGUCCAGACUCCUACGGGAGGCAGCAGUGGGGAAUAUUGCACAAUGGGCGCAAGCCUGAUGCAGCCAUGCCGCGUGUAUGAAGAAGGCCUUCGGGUUGUAAAGUACUUUCAGCGGGGAGGAAGGCGAUAAGGUUAAUAACCUUGUCGAUUGACGUUACCCGCAGAAGAAGCACCGGCUAACUCCGUGCCAGCAGCCGCGGUAAUACGGAGGGUGCAAGCGUUAAUCGGAAUUACUGGGCGUAAAGCGCACGCAGGCGGUCUGUCAAGUCGGAUGUGAAAUCCCCGGGCUCAACCUGGGAACUGCAUUCGAAACUGGCAGGCUAGAGUCUUGUAGAGGGGGGUAGAAUUCCAGGUGUAGCGGUGAAAUGCGUAGAGAUCUGGAGGAAUACCGGUGGCGAAGGCGGCCCCCUGGA
rnacentral:rRNA from 1 species